GUAGGGAAUAUUGGACAAUGGGGGGAACCCUGAUCCAGCCAUGCCGCGUGGAGGAAGACUGCCCUCUGGGUUGUAAAUAUCUUUUAUCUGGGAAGAAACUCCUCUAUUCUUAGAGGCCUGACGGUACCAGAGGAAUAAGCACCGGCUAACUCCGUGCCAGCAGCCGCGGUAAUACGGAGGGUGCAAGCGUUAUCCGGAUUCACUGGGUUUAAAGGGUGCGUAGGCGGGUUGAUAAGUCAGUGGUGAAAGCUCCGGGCUUAACUUGGAAACUGCCAUUGAUACUGUCAAUCUUGAAUGUCGUAGAGGUAAGCGGAAUGUUGCAUGUAGCGGUGAAAUGCUUAGAUAUGUUACAGAACACCAAUUGCGAAGGCAGCUUACUAUGCGAUAAUUGACGCUGAGGCACGAAAGCGUGGGGAGCAAACAGGAUUAGAUACCCUAGUAGUCC
rnacentral:rRNA from 1 species